rnacentral:lncRNA from 1 species
AUGAAGAAAUUAUUUCCUGGAAAUUGAUGUUUGAGCUAAAAUUUUAGUAUGAAACUGUUUGCACUGUGUAAUGUACAAUGGGUAUUUAAUUUAUGAUGAAUAAUUGUGUAUUAGAUUUAUUGUGAUAGAUGUACUAUUGGAUUCUGAAUAAUGAGGUUGAUAGAUUUCAACUGCAUAUGAGUUUAGAUGAAUAAACAUAGUGAUUUAAGCAUUUUAGGCUUAAAUAAAA